CUAACUCUACCAAAAUGAGGUGUGGAUUGAAUAAUAUUAGCAAAUCUAGUUGAAUUUCCAUCGAAGUUAAACCCUUUACUUGGAUAUAAAUUUCAAUGUCGUGGAAAUCAAAUUGGACAUAAAAAACUGCACUGACAAAUCUUUCAAUUAGUCUAACUACAAUAAGAUUAAUAUAUUAUCAACAUGUUCAUUCAUAGUCUUAAAUACUUCACUUUACUUGUGCAUAGACAAAAAAUUAUCAAACAACAUCUCUACAAUAUAUUGAGUAAAAAAACUGAAGACUUCCCUUAAUACCAAACUGAUAUUCUACAUAUGGUGCAAGGGUUAAAAUAUGUCUAUUUUCCAUAAUUUUUAAAGAAGAGACUUGUUCUACAUUCAAAGAGAAAGAUAGCUAAACAAACACAGAAACGUCAUCAUCAUCCAUUUCAGCAACAGAAACAAACAUACCAAAUCCAUUUUACCAUUUUUACUGUUGUUGUUGUUUAUUUGUCAAAAGUGCAUAAUUUGUUUAAAUCAAUAAUAAUAAUAAACAAAAUAUAAAUUUUAAAACUAAUCUUAUCAAGAGUGCAAAAUUUGUUUACUGCAAUCACAUAUUCUCCUCUUCCAGCAUCAUAAGAGCUUGCUCAUCCCCCUUCUCACACCUUAGAACUACAAGGUUUUCAAUUUGAAGGGCAUCUUUGAGCAAGACUAAACUAGGAGUGUGUGGAAUUAUUGAAUAGAGGUGAUAAGGAGGACAACUAAGAAUGUAUUUUUGUAAUGCAGCUCCAUGCCGAUAGUCAAAAAAAAUGAUAGUAUAAAGGUUAUAUAAAAUAAAAUAACAGAAUCAUUUGUCAUGGGGGAGCAGUGGUAGAUAUAGCUUAGGUAACCGUAAUCAGUAGGAAGAAUAAUGGAAAAUAGCAUACUCCACUCUCCUUGCUUCACCCAAACGUUAACAAUUUCAUCUUCACGAUGGUGGCAAAGACACAAACAUCCUCUGAUUACUCCCAGAGUAACCCACUCUGCCACAAAAUUCAUCAUCUCAUCAUCCGUUGCAGGGGAAGGAAUUUGUUCAAAACUAUGAGUUUUUAGGUCGAAAGCUUCUAUGGAUCUUUUGUUUGGCUCAUCUACGUAACCAACAAGAAAAUAAAUUAUCUCCGCAAGAAAGGCAGGAUCAUUAUCAAUACUUACAAUGGUAUGGUUGUUUCCGAUAUCGAUCCAUCCUGAGGUUCCAACAAUGCAUACUUCCACUUGAGUAAUACUAUCCUUUUCUUUGGCAAUCCUCACCACCUUAUACUAUUUAUGUUUGUUGUCACAGCAGAAACCAAAUCCAACUGAAAUAAAAUCAUAGACAGACUUUAAGCAUUUUUCAUUUGUCACCUCCAUAUACUCUGAUGUUAUCGGGUUGCACAACAUAACGAAAUCUUUAGCGUUGAACAUGCACAACAUGCUGUCGCACGAGUUAGCUAUGCAAAAUGGUUGUUCCCUAAACUUUUUUCCCGAUCUACAAUCAAAAUUACCGGCGGGGAGUUGACGGCAAGGGAUUGCAGAUGUUUGAAGAAAGUUUGAGUUCAGCCCGUCAAAAAAGUUUUCAAGCAUGUAAUAGUGUUUUGUUUCCCGAUCAUCGUUCUUAAUAAAGAGACCGACGGAUGCAUGCUCGAAAUGGAACUUCCUAAAGCUAAUAUCCAGAAGCUCCCUCUUCCAUCUCUUCGAAAUGCAGAGGAUGGCGAAAAGACUCUCGAGAGGUAAUUUGGCCCAUAUCUCGUGGGUGCAUUCCCUUGGUAAACGGUCAAACAAUGCAAUAUCAGCAACAACAUCAUCAAUAGUAGCAAAAUCAAGAACAUCAGCAAAAACAUUAACAACAAAAGAUUGAAGCGGUUGAUUUUCAUUUGGUUCUUCCAUCUGAAGUAUAAAAGAAGUGUUACUGAGAUAAUCUUUGUUUAUAAGAAGAAAAGAAAGAAUGUAAACAACAUACAUUUCAAAAAGAAUUUGCAGAAGCACACGAUUUUGACACUUAGCAUUGCACAUCGGUGACUCUACACGCAAUACUUACAAUGGUAUGGUUGUUUCCGAUAUCAAUCCAUCCUGAGGUUCCAACAAUGCAUACUUCCACUUGAGUAAUACUAUCAUUUUCUUUGAAAAUCCUCACCACCUUAUAGUGUUUAUGUUUGUUGUCACAACAGAAAGCAAAUCCAACUGAAAACAAAUCAUAGACUGACCCUAAGCAUUUUUCAUUUGUCACCUCCAUAUUUGUCACCUCCAUAUACUCUGAUGUUAUCGGGUUGCACAGCAUAACGAAAUCUUUAGCGUUGAACAUGCACAACAUGUUGUCGCACGAGUUAGCUAUGCAAAUUGGUUGUUCCCUAAACUUUUUUCCCGAUCUACAAUUAAAAUUAAUGGCGGGGACUUGACGGCAAGGGAUUGCAGAUGUUUCAAGAAUGUUUGAGUUCAACCCGUCAAAAAAGUUUUUAAGCAUGUAAUAGUAUUUUGUUUCCCGGUCAUCGUUCUUAAUAAAGAGAUCGACGGAUGCAUGCUCGAAAUGGAACUUCCUAAAACUAAUAUCCAGAAGCUCCCUCUUCCAUUUCUUCGAAAUGCAGAGGAUGGCGAAAAGACUCUCGAGAGGAAGUUUGGCCCAUAUCUCGUGGGUGCAUUCCCUUGGUAGACGGUCAAACAAUGCAAUAUCAGCAACAACAUCAAGAGCAUCAGUAGCAACAUCAAGAACACCAGCAGAAACAUUAACAACAAAAGAUUGAAGCGGUUGAUCUUCAUUUGGUUCUUCCAUCUGAAGUAUAAAAGAAGUGUUAUUGAGAUAGUCUUUGAUUAUAAGAAGAAAAUAAAAAAUGUAAACAAUAUACCUUUAAAAAAGAAUUUGCAGAAGCACACGAUUUUGACACUUAGCAUUGCACAUCGGUGACUCUACAUGUAAUACUUACAAUGGUAUGGUUGUUUCCGAUAUCAAUCCAUCUUGAGGUUCCAACAAUGCAUACUUCCACUUGAGUAAUACUAUCCUUUUCUUUGAAAAUCCUCACCACCUUAUACUAUUUAUGUUUGUUGUCACAGCAGAAACCAAAUCCAAUUGAAAACAAAUCAUAGACUGACUCUUAGCAUUUUUCAUUUGUCACCUCCAUAUACUCUGAUGUUAUCGGGUUGUACAACAUCACAGAAUCUUUAGCGUUGAACAUGCACAACAUGUUGUCACACGAGUUAGCUAUGCAAAAUGGCUGUUCCCUAAACUUUUUUCCCGAUCUACAAUCAAAAUUACCGGCGGGGACUUGACGGCAAGGGAUUGCAGAUGUUUCAAGAAAGUUUGAGUUCAGCCCGUCAAAAAAGUUUUCAAGCAUGUAAUAAUGUUUUGUUUCCCGGUCAUCGUUCUUAAUAAAGAGACCGACGGAUGCAUGCUCGAAGAACUUCCUAAAACUAAUAUCCAGAAGCUCCCUCUUCCAUUUCUUCGAAAUGCAGAGGAUGGCAAAAAGACUCUCGAGAGGAAGUUUGGCCCAUAUCUCGUGGGUGCAUUCCCUUGGUAGACGGUCAAACAAACAAUGCAAUAUCAGCAACAACAUCAAGAGCAUCAGUAGCAACAUCAAGAACAUCAGCAGAAACAUUAACAACAAAAGAUUGAAGCGGUUCAUUUUCAUUUGGUUCUUCCAUUUGAAGUAUAAAAGAAGUGUUACUGAGAUAGUCUUUGAUUAUAAGAAGAAAAGAAAGAAUGUAAACAACAUAACUUUCAAAAAGAAUUUUCAGAAGCACACGUUUUUGACACUUAGCAUUGCACAUCGGUGACUCUACACGCAAUACUUACAAUGGUAUGGUUGUUUCCGAUAUCAAUCCAUCCUGAGGUUCCAACAAUGCAUACUUCUACUUGAGUAAUACUAUCCUUUUCUUUGAAAAUCCUCACCACCUUAUACUGUUUAUGUUUGUUGUCACAGCUGAAACCAAAUCCAACAGAAAACAAAUCAUAGACUGACUCUAAGAAUUUUUCAUUUGUCACCUCCAUAUACUCUGAUGAUAUCGGGUUGCACAGCAUAACGGAGUCUUUAGCGUUGAACAUGCACAACAUUCUGUCGCACGAGUUAGCUAUGCAAAAUGGCUUUCCCUAAACUUUUUUCCCGAUCUACAAUCAAAAUUACCGGCGGGGAGUUGACGGCAAGGGAUUGCAGAUGUUUCAAGAAAGUUUGAGUUCAGCCCGUCAAAAAAGUUUUCAAGCAUGUAAUAGUGUUUUGUUUCCCGGUCAUCGUUCUCAACAAAGAGACCGACGGAUGCAUGUUCGAAAUGAAACUUCCUAAAACUAAUAUCUAGAAGCUACCUCUUCCAUUUCUUCGAAAUGCAGAGGAUGGCGAAAACACUCUCGAGAGGAAGUUUUGCCCAUAUCUCGUGGGUGCAUUCCCUUGGUAGACGGUCAAACAAUGCAAUAUCAGCAACAACAUCAUCAUCAAGAGCAUCAGUAGCAACAUCAGCAGAAAUAUUAACAACAAAAGAUUGAAGCGGUUGAUUUUCAUUUGGUUCUUCCAUUUGAAGUAUAAAAGAAGUGUUACUGAGAUAGUCUUUGAUUAUAAGAAGAAAAGAAAGAAUGUAAACAACAUACCUUUCAAAAAGAAUUUGCAGAAGCACACGUUUUUGACACUUAGCAUUGCACAUCGGUGACUCUACACGCAAUACUUACAAUGGUAUGGUUGUUUCCGAUAUCAAUCCAUCCUGAGGUUCCAACAAUGCAUACUUCCACUUGAGUAAUACUAUCCUUUUAUUUGAAAAUCCUCACCACCUUAUACUGUUUAUGUUUGUUGUCACAACAGAAACCAAAUCCAACUGAAAACAAAUCAUAGACUGACUCUAAGCAUUUUUCAUUUCUCACCUCCAUAUUUGUCACCUCCAUAUACUCUGAUGAUAUCGGGUUGCACAGCAUAACGGAGUCUUUAGCGUUGAACAUGCACAACAUUCUGUCGCACGAAUUAGCUAUGCAAAAUGGCUGUUCCCUAAACUUUUUUCCCGAUCUACCAUCAAAAUUACUGGCGGUGACUUGACGGCAAGGGAUUGCAGAUGUUUCAAGAAAGUUUGAGUUCAGCCCGUCAAAAAAGUUUUCAAGCAUGUAAUAGUGCUUUGUUUCCCGGUCAUCGUUCUCAACAAAGAGACCGACGGAUGCAUGCUCGAAAUGGAACUUCCUAAAGCUAAUAUCUAGAAGCUCCUUCUUCCAUCUCUUCGAAAUGCAGAGGAUGGCAAAAAGACUCUCGAGAGGAAGUUUGGCCCAUACCUUGUGGGUGCAACAUCACGAGAUAUGGGCCAAACUUCCUCUCGAGAGUUUUUUCGCCAUCCUCUGCAUUUCGAAGAGAUGGAAGAGGGAGCUUCUGGAUAUUAGCUUUAAGAAGUUCCAUUUCGAGCAUGCAUUUGUCAGUCUCUUUAUUAAGAACGAUGACCGGGAAACAAAACACUAUUACAUGCUUGAAAACCUUUUUGGCGGGCUGAACUCAGACUUUCUUGAAACAUCUGCAAUCCCUUGCCGUCAAGUCCCCGCCGGUAAUUUUGAUUGUAGAUCGGGAAAAAAGUUUAGGGAACAACCAUUUUGCAUAGCUAACUCGUGCGACAGAAUGUUGUGCAUGUUCAACGCUAAAGAUUCUGUUAUGUUGUGCAACCCGAUAACAUCAGAGUAUAUGGAGGUGACAAAUAUGGAGGUGAUAAAUGAAAAAUGCUUAGAGUCAGUCUAUGAUUUGUUUUCAAUUGGAUUUGGUUUCUGCUGUGACAACAAAUAUAAACAGUAUAAGGUGGUGAGGAUUUUCAAAGAAAAGGAUAGUAUUACUCAAGUGGAAGUAUGCAUUGUUGGAACCUCAAGAUGUAUUGAUAUCAGAAACAACCAUACCAUUGUAAGUAUUACGUGUAGAGUCACCGAUGUGCAAUGCUAAGUGUCAAAAUCGGUGACUCUACACGCAACACUAGAGAAUCCAAAUAUUUCCCAAGAUUUUUAUGAUACCUACACAACCUUCCAAACCCCCUUUACAUGCAAAGAAUAAGUAAUUCACAUAUGAAUUCACGGCUAAUAUAACCACUGAUUUUCUAGAGAGAAGUAAUCUCAAUACCAAAGUAACUCGACAGUGGAACAAGAACAAAAUUACUACAAAAAUCACACUAUUUCACACAAAUUAUAGAAGAAAUCAAAUGCAAAAAACUAUGCUGAAAAUGGGAGAAAAAAGAGAUCCUUGUUUGUCAAAGAGAAUAAUUUUAAGAUCAGAGGCAGGUAAGUAGCUUCACCUAAAGGCAUGUCCUUAUAUAACUAAUUAAACUCUCCCUCUGUAUUAGUGCACUUAAAGAUGAUAAAUGCAUCUGUAAUAUAUACCAUAACAAAAUUUGUGCAAAGGAUUACACUUUGCUACAAUGUACUCUUAAGUGCAGUCCAGUACCUAGAAACACCUAAACCUUUACUUUUUCUUUUAGAUCCAUGAUUUCCUUAUCCUUAAUCAGUUGCAUAGUGCAUUACUUAUCAAGAUAGAAUUAUUGAACUUCACCCAUCUUUGCUAAUUCUACCAAAAUGAGGUGUGGAUUGAAUAAUAUUAGCAAAUCUAGUUGAAUUUCCAUCGAAGUUAAACCCUUUACUUGGAUAUAAAUUUCAAUGUCGUGGAAAUCAAAUUGGACAUAAAAACUGCACUGACAAAUCUUUCAAUUAGUCUAACUACAAUAAGAUUAAUAUAUUAUCAACAUGUUCAUUCAUAGUCUUAAAUACUUCACUUUACUUGUGCAUAGACAAAAAAUUAUCAAACAGCAUCUCUACAAUAUAUUGAGUAAAAACACUGAAGACUUCCCUUAAUACCAAACUGAUAUUCUACAUAUGGUGCAAGGGUUAAAAUAUGUCUAUUUUACAUAAUUUUUUAAAACUCGGUUUGUUCCACUCUUCUACAUAUGCUAAGUUAAAUUUAUAAGGUAAAUUCCAGG
rnacentral:lncRNA from 1 species